GGGGAUGUAGCUCAGUGGUAGAGUGCUCACCUAAUAUGUGCAAGGCCCUGGAUUCAAUCCCAGCUUCUGCA
rnacentral:tRNA from 1 species